rnacentral:rRNA from 1 species
CGGGUUGCGGACAGUGUCUGGUGGGUAGUUUGACUGGGGCGGUCUCCUCCUAAAGAGUAACGGAGGAGCACGAAGGUUGGCUAAUCCUGGUCGGACAUCAGGAGGUUAGUGCAAUGGCAUAAGCCAGCUUGACUGCGAGCGUGACGGCGCGAGCAGGUGCGAAAGCAGGUCAUAGUGAUCCGGUGGUUCUGAAUGGAAGGGCCAUCGCUCAACGGAUAAAAGGUACUCCGGGGAUAACAGGCUGAUACCGCCCAAGAGUUCAUAUCGACGGCGGUGUUUGGCACCUCGAUGUCGGCUCAUCACAUCCUGGGGCUGAAGUAGGUCCCAAGGGUAUGGCUGUUCGCCAUUUAAAGUGGUACGCGAGCUGGGUUUAGAACGUCGUGAGACAGUUCGGUCCCUAUCUGCCGUGGGCGCUGGAGAACUGAGGGGGGCUGCUCCUAGUACGAGAGGACCGGAGUGGACGCAUCACUGGUGUUCGGGUUGUCAUGCCAAUGGCACUGCCCGGUAGCUAAAUGCGGAAGAGAUAAGUGCUGAAAGCAUCUAAGCACGAAACUUGCCCCGAGAUGAGUUCUCCCUGAGACUUUAGGUCUCCUGAAGGAACGUUGAAGACGACGACGUUGAUAGGCCGGGUGUGUAAGCGCAGCGAUGCGUUGAGCUAACCGGUACUAAUGAACCGUGAGGCUUAACCUUACA